rnacentral:rRNA from 1 species
UAGGGAAUCUUCGGCAAUGGACGAAAGUCUGACCGAGCAACGCCGCGUGAGUGAAGAAGGUUUUCGGAUCGUAAAACUCUGUUGUUAGAGAAGAACAAGGACGUUAGUAACUGAACGUCCCCUGACGGUAUCUAACCAGAAAGCCACGGCUAACUACGUGCCAGCAGCCGCGGUAAUACGUAGGUGGCAAGCGUUGUCCGGAUUUAUUGGGCGUAAAGCGAGCGCAGGCGGUUUCUUAAGUCUGAUGUGAAAGCCCCCGGCUCAACCGGGGAGGGUCAUUGGAAGCUGGGAGACUUGAGUGCAGAAGAGGAGAGUGGAAUUCCACGUGUAGCGGUGAAAUGCGUAGAUAUAUGGAGGAACACCAGUGGCGAAGGCGGCUCUCAGGUCUGUAACUGACGCUGAGGCUCGAAAGCGGGGGGAGCAAACAGG